UUCCAGGGUACAUGUGGAUUGGGAUUAGAAACGGCAGUUCUUGCUAAUCCACAGUGGAAGAGUACAGACACUAGUAUGAUUAAUUUUCAUAGCCUCGUCAUGAUUAAAUGAUGCCAUCAGUAUCUUUAUUAAAAUUGACAGCAGUCAACAUAGGCAUUGCCGUUUCUUGGAGGGUAAGAGGCACUGAAACAAUAGGUUCUGCUAUUUCUGGGCAGAUUAGGAAGUACUAGUAUCUUCAUUAAAAGGAUUAGCAGAGAGCACUGUCAAAUACAGGCAAUGUGGCCAUGCGGGUAUGUCAGGGUUGUAGAUGUUGCUCCUUUCCCUAUAAUUAUACAGUUAUGUUGCUUCAUCAUUGGAAUAUGCAUUGCCACUUCUUGGAAUAUUCAUUGUUUAAAAUUGCAAAUGAAUUCAGCAUUCUCUAUUUCAGGAUAACCUGGAUGGUGAAGAACAAUCUUUACAAGCACCUGCUGCAAUGUCCUUAGAAGAAAGCAAUCGCAGAAUCAAUAGGCAUCAUUGCCGUCUCAAGUCGAAAAGCGAAAGAGGUCAACUUCAGCGGUUAAUGCUUCAAAUACUAUGCAUAUAAGCGAAACAGAUCAACUUCAGCAGUCAACUACCUCUCCCACUCCGAUCUCUCCAGUUCACAAAGUUGAAGCUUUAAUUUGUUCACAAAGUUGGCUUCGAACAUCACAAAGAAAAUUAAGUGAAAGAGAGGCCGCUGAAGAGGUCCAGGCAUACGAGGAGAUUAGAGAAGAGUUUGUUUCAAAGGACUGCACUGACAAGCAACACCAUGUUGGUUUCAUUGAGCUGGACACAUAGCCUUUUGAUGGAAGGCAAGAGCUCGAGGGCGAUGACAAGGUUUGCCUUCCAUCCUUCUUGUGUCUUCAAUGAUGAACACAUAUCUUUGUUUCUUCAGUUCAUUUCGAGUCUUAUUUGUUUCAGUUCAGUCAGGUCAAUCUAUUAGUCUGCUAGCUUAGUCAGUUUCAGUUAACCGGACGGGUCGGUCAUGGUUGGUAGGAUGUCGUGCUCUUUAGGAUUUGAAUCAACUGCUCUCCACCUGACAAAUUUAUUUGUUAUGAUGCAGAUUUUAUUGAGCUACAAAAUUCUUUGUUAUGUUGAUUGUUAUUCUAUAUCUUAUAGUGACAAAGCUUUUUUUUAAUGUUGUAUUUUAUUGAGUUAGACAUAUAGCCUUUUGAUGCAAGUACGAGAGUAUUAUGGGCUAUGCUGGUCUGAAACAACAUCAGUUUUGUUUAUGUUUUGGUUAAGUUAAACCAUUGUUGGUACCCUGCUUUCAGAAAACUUGAGUUCCAUUGGCAGACAUCAAAUGUAUUCAGCACGAACAGUUCCCUAGCCAUGAUGUUCUCUUUCCACACUAGGCAAAAUUCUGUUAAGUUAAAUUUUGAGGCUACUGAUAUCUUCCUGUAUAAGCUGUUAAGAGGGAAUAGUUUUGACAUGUACUAAAAACUCAUUGAAUGUAUGCUGCUAAUUUCAUCUUCUUUGUCUAAGCUGCACAAGUUUAAGAGAAGCAACUAUGGAUUUAUUUCGUGAAGCAAACUGUGCGUAAUGGCCGCGAAAUGUAAUUACUUUGGUAGGAUUAUCGUGCGUAUUUAUGAAGCAAACUAUGCAACCCGUAUAUAUUUGUGCAACCCGUGGAAACCCUGGAACCGUCCGUACCGACCCAACCCAAUGAAUUGUUUAAUCCGGCAGCAACCGUUGAAAACCAAACCACUCCGGACCAGCCACGUAUCUGCUUGCUUGGGUUGCAAGCCCGGAAGAAACCGGCAAAGCCGGACCAUGAACAGGGCGAGCUAAAUCUACGUGGGUGCCUUAUAUAUCUCUACAUGAGUCCUCCUUGGUGUCCGUCUUAUGCGAAAAAUUGUAACCCUAGCAAAGGCUAGUAAGUUUGAGUAAUUUUAUUGUCGAAUGCUUGGUGCCAGUAAAAUUUGUUUAAACAAAACAGUAA